UACGGGGGGAGCAAGCGUUGUUCGGAUUUACUGGGCGUAAAGGGCGCGUAGGCGGUCAGCACAAGUCAGUUGUGAAAUCUCCGGGCUUAACUCGGAAAGGUCAACUGAUACUGUGCGACUAGAGUGCGGAAGGGGCAACUGGAAUUCUCGGUGUAGCGGAUGAAAUGCGUAGAUAUCGAGAGGAACACCUGCGGCGAAGGCGGGUUGCUGGGCCGACACUGACGCUGAUGCGCGAAAGCCAGGGAGCGAACGGG
rnacentral:rRNA from 1 species